UUUCCAGCUUGUUGAAUGAAUCUGACUUGUCGGGACUCGUCAGUUCGUUUCGACGGGUUAACAAACUUUGGCGGAGGCGGACCAAAAGAAGAAACGCCGCUACCGAACACACAGUGUAACGCCUCUACCGGCACCACCACGACAACACCGCCUUCGGAAAAUCCUCCGCCGCCCCUCGAUCUUCUCUCCCCGCUCUCCUCGGAUGACCCAAUGGAAGCUAAGUUCAACGGCGGCGAUAAUUUCGAUCUCUUGACUGGCUCGAGCCCGGAUAGCAAUCCCCUCUUGUCCGGCACCUUACUCCCCGAGGCCAAUUCCGGCAGUGGACCCAGAAUUUUCAGCCGCCACUUCGACGAUUCGUCCUCCUCCUCCGCCGCCGCCUCCGAUGACGAUGAGGACGACCGGCGGUCCUCCACUACUUCAAUGGAGUCCACCACCAAACGACUCGACUACAUGCUCCAGUUCCUGGACCGGAAGCUCUCCUCUGCUCCCGCCGCCACUGUCGCCGCCUCGCAUGCUGUAAGCAGCAAUUCCGGUCUGCCGGAGUUCAUCGGCAGAGGAGGCGGGACGGGGAUCUUCAAGCUGCCGCCCCGGGCGGCCGUCCACCCGGGACGUCCGUCGAGCCUCGAGGUGAGGCCGCACCCGCUGCGGGAGACCCAAAUCGGGUGCUUCCUGAGGACGAUAGUGGCGACCCCGACUCACCUGUGGGCUGGUGGAGAGCAGAACCUCCGGGUCUGGGACCUGACUCACGAUUUGUACUCCGCCUGCAACUUGGGGGAGGAUGCGGAAUUGGAUACGGCGCCAUUCCGCGAGUCCGUGGCCGGGAUUUCACCCACCCUGUGCAUGGCCUCCGAUGAGGCGAACCACCUGGUCUGGAGUGGCCACAGGGACGGAAGGAUCCGGUGCUGGAAGAUGCCUCCUAGUGGAGGCAGCUGCGGCUGGGCCAGUAGCAAGACACGGUUCGGGGAAGCCCUUUGCUGGCAGGGCCAUCGCGGACCCAUCCUUUCCAUUGCCAUAUCAUCAUUUGGGGACCUGUGGUCAGGUUCGGAAAGCGGUUCUAUCAAGAUAUGGCCAUGGGAGGCCAUCGAGAAAUCUCUCUUAUUGACUGAGGAGGAGAGGCACAUUGCUGUUUCUUCACUCGAGAGGUCGUACAUCGAGCCACGGAACCUAGUUAACCCGAACGGCUUUGCUCACAGUUUAGGUGCUGAUGUAAAGCACUUGCUAUCAGAUCAUUCCAAAGGAAGAAUGUGGAGCGGCAGUCAUUUUUCGUUCGCCCUUUGGGAUGCUAGAACAAGAGAAUUGCUUCGUGUGUUCAAUAUAGAUGGUCAAGUCGAGAGCCGGGCAGAAGUGGUACUUCAGGAUCUUCCCAUGGACUUGCCUUUUGGAGCAAAAAGGGACAAAGUGCAGACCCCGGUUAGCUUCUUUCAGCGCUCGCGCAAUGCUCUAAUUGGAGCAGCAGAUGUUGUUCGUAGGGCUGCGACAAAGGGGGCAUUUGGAGACGACAAUCGUAAAACUGAAGCAUUGGUGUCGACAGCAGAUGGGAUGAUCUGGACGGGGUGUACAAGUGGCUCACUUAUCCAGUGGGAUGGGAAUGGGAAUCGCCUGCAAGAUGUCCAAUACUGUCCUUUUCCAGUUCAGUGCCUCUGUUCUUUAGGGCUUCGCAUAUGGGUGGGGUAUGGAAAUGGGACCCUUCAGGUGCUGGACCUCGAAGGGAAUCUGAUCGGGUCAUGGACAGCUCACAGCGGUCCGGUCAUGAAAUUGACUGUUGGGGCAGGGUAUGUUUUCAGCUUGGCUAGUCAUGGUGGAAUCAGAGGUUGGAAUGUUACUUCACCUGGCCCACUCGACGGCAUGUUAGGAACGGAGUUGGGUGGGAAGGAAUUCUUGUACAGUAGAAUCGAAAAUGUGAAAGUAUUGGCAGGUACAUGGAAUGUUGGACAAGGAAGGGCUUCUCGUGACUCGCUCAUAGCAUGGCUUGGUUCUGCAGCAUCUGCAGCUGGUAUAGUAGUUGUUGGGCUUCAAGAGGUUGAAAUGGGUGCUGGUUUUCUUGCUAUGUCUGCAGCUAAAGAGACGGUGGGGCUUGAGGGUAGUGCUGUUGGGCAAUGGUGGCUCGAUAUGAUUGGCAAAACACUCGAUGAAGGGUCAACUUUCGAACGAAUUGGUUCUAGACAGCUCGCUGGCCUACUGGUUGCUGUGUGGGUGCGAAAAAGUCUUAGACCCCAUGCUGGGGAUGCUGAUGCUGCAGCAGUUCCAUGUGGUUUUGGGCGUGCAAUUGGUAAUAAGGGAGCUGUCGGUUUGAGGAUCAGAGUUUAUGAUCGGAUCAUUUGCUUUAUAAAUUGCCAUUUUGCUGCUCAUAUCGAAGCAGUUACUCGUCGAAAUGCCGAUUUCGACCAUGUAUAUAGGACCAUGACAUUUAGCAAGCCCUCGAACUCCUUCAGUGCAGUAGCUGGUAUGCUGCCGAACCUGUUAUUGACUUGUUCGAUUGCCUGCUCGGUUUAUUUGUCUUGGCUUGUUUAUAGACAUGGAUUGCCUCUUAUCCUUUCUGUUGCAGCCGGUGCUUCCUCUGCCGUGCAAAUGAUUCGUGGUGCAAAUGUAAUUGGGGCGCAGUCAGUUGAGGGACUGCCAGAGUUGUCCGAGGCAGACAUGGUUAUAUUUUUUGGAGAUUUUAAUUAUCGGCUUGAUGGGAUAUCAUAUGAUGAAGCAAGAGAUUUCAUUUCCCAAAGAUGUUUCGACUGGCUCAGAGAGAAGGAUCAGCUCCGAGGAGAGAUGGAAGCGGGAAAUGUCUUUCAAGGAAUGCGGGAAGCUAUUAUAAAAUUUCCUCCUACCUACAAGUUUGAACGGCACUUGGCUGGAUUAGCGGGGUAUGAUUCUGGUGAAAAGAAGAGAAUUCCCGCUUGGUGUGACAGAAUUCUGUACCGUGAUAGCCGCUCACUUCUGCUGAAUGACUGCAGUCUAGAUUGUCCUGUGGCUGCUUCAGUAACGGAGUAUGAGGCUUGCAUGGAUGUGACUGACAGCGAUCACAAGCCUGUCCGCUGCACAUUCAGUGUGGAUAUUGCUCGAAUCGAUGAAUCAGUGAGGAGACAAGAGUUUGGGGAGGUUAUCACGUCUAAUGGAAAAUUCAACUCUUUGCUUGAUCGGCUGUUUGAGAUCCCGGAAACCAUAGUCAGUACCAACAACAUAAUCAUUCAAAAUGAAGACACGUCCAUCCUGCGCAUCACAAACAAAUCGAGGAAGGAUAUCGCUCUGUUUCAGAUAAUUUGUGAUGGUGUCGCUGUGAUUAAGGAGGACUGCCAAGCAGCAGGUCAUCAUCCGAGGGGUUCUUUUGGGUUUCCACCAUGGCUCGAGGUGAGUCCUGUUUCGGGCACGAUCGAACCCGAUCACACAGUCGAGGUGUUGGUGCGUCACGAGAAGUUCCAGACCUUGGAGGAGUUUGUCGAUGGGGUCCCGCAGAAUGGUUGGUGUGAGGACACCCGAGACAAGGAAGUCAUACUGGUGAUUCGGGUGGGCGGGACUUACAUGACUCGAACAAAGUCCCACCGAGUCCGGGUCCGCCACUGCUCCACAUCAAGAACGAAGCAGGUCGUAGUCAAGCCAACACCGGACUCAAAGAGGCAGGCUCAGAUCCUCCAGCGCUCUGAUAUACAGCGGCUUAGCGAUUCCUACGAGGUGGUGGAACACUUGAGGAAUUUGCAUAGUCCAUGAAGCGAUCAAGGUUUGAAUAUCCGGCUGGUGAAAAUGUUCUCAAGAUUCUUAAACUAGUCGAUCUGCAUAUGUUCUUUGUUUUUUCUUGUGGAUGGUUAGCAAAUGUACAGAGAAACGCGGCAUUAAUCGGGGAAAUAUUUAUACUGAUGUUUGCUUCGUUGUUUUCGGUCCUUCAAGCGGAGCGGCUAAACAACUUACCGACUCAUACCCAUGAGAUCCGACUCCGAAGCUCUUCAUCUUCCCCAGCAACCGCAAUGCCUAGGCUUGCAGUAUCUCCAUUGAAUGGCGAUACCACUGUGGCAUAAAGUGGAGCUGAGAACUGAGUCUUCAGGAUCCAUCUUAUUGAUGCAAACUGAAUGAAUGCUAAAUGGUCCCGUCAAACUCUAAGGUGCAAAAUGAAGUUUUCUGAUGCA